AUUGAACGCUGGCGGAAUGCUUUACACAUGCAAGUCGAACGGUAGAGGGGGCAACCCCUUGAGAGUGGCGAACGGGUGAGUAAUAUAUCGGAACGUGCCCAGUCGUGGGGGAUAACGUAGCGAAAGUUACGCUAAUACCGCAUACGAUCUAAGGAUGAAAGCGGGGGACUCGCAAGAGCCUCGCGCGAUUGGAGCGGCCGAUAUCAGAUUAGGUAGUUGGUGGGGUAAAGGCUCACCAAGCCAACGAUCUGUAGCUGGUCUGAGAGGACGACCAGCCACACUGGAACUGAGACACGGUCCAGACUCCUACGGGAGGCAGCAGUGGGGAAUUUUGGACAAUGGACGCAAGUCUGAUCCAGCCAUUCCGCGUGCAGGAUGAAGGCCCUCGGGUUGUAAACUGCUUUUACACCGGAGAAAACCUCCCCUCGUGAGGGAGCUGAUAGUAUGGUGAGAAUAAGCAUCGGCUAACUUCGUG
rnacentral:rRNA from 1 species